AUUGAACGCUGGCGGCGUGCCUAACACAUGCAAGUCGAGCGGUAACAGGUGUAGCAAUACAUGCUGACGAGCGGCGGACGGGUGAGUAACGCUUGGGAAUCUGCCUAUUAGUGGGGGACGAACCCGGGGAAACGUACGGGCGUAAUACCGCAUACGCUCUACGGAGGAAAGCCGGGACCGGCAAGGCCUGGCGCUAAUAGAUGAGCCCAAGUCGGAUUAGCUAGUUGGUAGGGUAAGUGGCCUACCAAGGCGACGAUCCGUAACUGGUCUGAGAGGACGACCAGUCACACCGGAACUGAGACACGGUCCGGACUCCUACGGGAGGCAGCAGUGGGGAA
rnacentral:rRNA from 1 species